GAGGUCAACUUCAGGUAGCUUCCUAAAUUAUUCUUCGGUUUGUUUCUUAUGGCAGGGUCUUUGGCUUUUACCUGGAUUUCACUGCUUCAGCUAACUUGGGGAGUCGAUCCAAGCGUGGCUUCUCGGUUGAACCCAGAUCUUGUUCAUACAGCUGGUCUUAUCAGCCAGCUUGCUCCGACAGGGAUCCCCUGUGCCCACCUUUUCAGCGCUGCGAUGGCAGAAAGACCACCGUGCCCACUGGGCGUGUACAUGGGUUCUGCCCAUCUGAAUCCCGUUCCUCAAGCUUAAGCAGUGAGCACUUAUCCGAGCCGAGAUCUUGUUACAUCACAAGGAGAAAAACUGGAUUUUCUUCGAAGCAGUCGGAGUGAAAACACAUGUACUGUGUGUUGUCCUCAAACCGUAUUCCCAUGUGUGCACUGUGAGCGCACAGAGGGUGGCUCCCUGGGACUUUAGCACCUUGGAGCAUCUUCCUGUCACUCUGCACAGCUAUGACGUCCCCUGGAGCCUCCUGGAGUUUUCCAGCUCUCACAAGGGGCGGAUUCUUCCCACCGUACACCCCUGCCAUGACAGACAGCUGUCACGGG